rnacentral:rRNA from 1 species
GCCAAUUAAUUUAACUUGGGAGUCAGAACAUGGGUGAUAAGGUCCGUGUUCGAAAGGGAAACAGCCCAGACCACCAGCUAAGGUCCCAAAAUAUAUGUUAAGUGGAAAAGGAUGUGGCGUUGCCCAGACAACUAGGAUGUUGGCUUAGAAGCAGCCAUCAUUUAAAGAGUGCGUAAUAGCUCACUAGUCGAGUGACACUGCGCCGAAAAUGUACCGGGGCUAAACAUAUUACCGAAGCUGUGGAUUGUCCUUUGGACAAUGGUAGGAGAGCGUUCUAAGGGCGUUGAAGCAUGAUCGUAAGGACAUGUGGAGCGCUUAGAAGUGAGAAUGCCGGUGUGAGUAGCGAAAGACGGGUGAGAAUCCCGUCCACCGAUUGACUAAGGUUUCCAGAGGAAGGCUCGUCCGCUCUGGGUUAGUCGGGUCCUAAGCUGAGGCCGACAGGCGUAGGCGAUGGAUAACAGGUUGAUAUUCCUGUACCACCUAUAAUCGUUUUAAUCGAUGGGGGGACGCAGUAGGAUAGGCGAAGCGUGCGAUUGGAUUGCACGUCUAAGCAGUAAGGCUGAGUAUUAGGCAAAUCCGGUACUCGUUAAGGCUGA